AUGAUGCGGCGGGGGAGGCCCAUCGUAGGAUUGCGAGGCCAAGGAGGGGGAGCAUGGUGGGAUUGCUGCGACACUCCCCACGCUUUCCUCGUCGCUCAACGAGGCUCCAGGCGCUCACGCGCCAUGCCGGCAAGAGCCACUCCGGCUGGCAGCCGCUUCUGGGUGCUAGCCAGAGAGGUCUUGGAUGAGGCGUCGACUCCAAAUCCAUGUAUGUUUGUUGCCGAUGCCACUCAAUUCCGCAGUAAAUCUGUUAUGCAUUAUUUGGUUGAUGAAUCGGGUAGCUUGCAUGAUUAUUUGUCUCCUGUUGUUCGAUCUGAACGAACAUGGAGAAAAAAGUAG
rnacentral:rRNA from 1 species